GGCCUGCGAGUGUGAUGGAUAGCACGACUGACUUCGAAUCAGUUAGACGGGGUUCGACUCCCUGGCGGGCUG
rnacentral:tRNA from 1 species